UGAUUAUUACUUCAAGGAAAUGAUAAAUAUCCCUUUAAAUUCAUGUUAAAAAUGGGAUCUCACACCAUAACUUCUCAAAAAACUAAUGUCCAAUUCAAACUGACUCGGGAUGCUGUGAAACUGUAAACCUAGCCUUUGUUAUUUCAUGCUAAUGAAAUGUAUAUCCUGGCUGAGGGGCUGGUAUGUCAGUAUGGUUGGCUUGCAAAGUCUGGCUCCAUAUAUGUAACACAUCAGUGCCGGUUGCAGGGUGUAUGGCUUCACUUUUGUACUGUAUAAAGUGGAUUUGUUGUCCAUCAUUAUGUGCAAUCAGUGGUUUGAUCUAUAUAUCUAUAAAAACACAGUAAACCAAUCACAUCACAGUUGAUUUGAGCAAAGGUUACCAUAAAUAACUCUGUCAAGCACUAAAAAGAGUGCAUCCUACAUAUCCCAUGAUGCUUAUCCAAAGUAUUAGACCAGCCCCAGCCAAAAUUACCCCAGUGACAUUACUGAGACACCAUUAUCUGGGCUUUAUUUUUAGACUUUGGAAGGAUCCUCCAAAGCCAUAAAUGAUGUCAUCCAACCCAACCGUGGUGUAUCACUCAUUGCAACUGUACUGAAUGGUGUAAAAUUGUUGGAUUAGCCCUUUAAUUCUUCAACUGCACUAUUGGGUGAAAUGUAUCAGGUUGUCUUAGGAUGUUUUGGUAAUGCUGCUCACCUGUGAACCAGACCACCGCGUUGAAAGGACAAUGACACUGAGAGCCAGGCAACAUACGUCAAGACUGAUGUUUGAGCUGAACAAGAGAGACAGGUUUGGAGCCUGAAUGUGAGACAGGCGGACAGAUAGAAAGAGAAUGAGUGUGUUUAUGUGUGUGUGAGAGAGAGAUGGGAGAAUAAAAGAGAGAGAGACAGAAGUGUGUUCAAAUAGCUCAGGGCAAGGUGACAGAGAGAAACGAGCGGACAGAGAGGGAUAACAAGCUCAUAGAGGGGGAAGUGUGUGUGUGUGUGUUGGAGAGAGAGAAAAGGAAGAGACUGAGGGUGGAAGGGGUGAGGGAUAGAGGAAGUUAAGGGAACAAAAACAAAAACAGUGAGUGUGUGUGUGUGCAUGUGUGUGUAUAUGUGUGUGGACAGCCAAAGGUGUCAGAGUAUGCUGUUUGGCUUAAUGAUAACCCACUGGGCAUGUAGGUCAUAACGGUUUGUGUCUCAAAGCCAUGACUGUAUGCCUGUGUGCAUCCAUUAGUGGGGUUGGAGUGUGUGUGUGUGUGUGUGUGUGUGUGUGUGUGUGUGUGUAAAUAGAAACUCAGUUGACACACACACACACACACACACAUGUAAAGUGGGUCUCUCAGAGAGGGUUUAAGAGUGUGUUUGGUCAGAGGUUGAAGAAGCAGUUUUUCUAGCUGGUAGGACUCAACUAUACUUACACACACACUCUCAUGUUGCACCCACACAUGCUGCAAAUCCAGUUUUUGGCACACACAAACAAACACACACACAUGCACGCACACACACACACCAACAGCUGUCCUACAUGUCAUACAUGCACAUGUGAUCCACUAUGUAUGGUGCUAAAUUAUGCACAAAUACACACAUCUUUUCCUUUUGAUCUCUCAUGAUAACACACACACACACACACACACACACACACACGCACAUACUCACUCAUUCUCUAAAACACACACACACACACUAGGGGAAGCUAUUAUGCUCUCAGGCUGGAGUGUUUUGAUGGUAUAAUUGCAGUGACCAGUGAGGAGAAAGAGACAGAGGGAGGGAUGGAAAGGGAUGGGGAUGGAGGGAGAGAAAAAGAGGAGAGUGCUGACACUCUCAGCAUGCUAAUGUUGCGAG